rnacentral:tRNA from 1 species
GGCGUGAUUAGCUCAGCUGGGAGAGCACCUCCCUUACAAGGAGGGGGUCGGCGGUUCGAUCCCGUCAUCACCCACCA